AGAGUUUGAUCCUGGCUCAGGAUGAACGCUAGCGGCAGGCCUAACACAUGCAAGUCGAACGGUAACAGUCCCGCUUGCGGGAGCUGACGAGUGGCGCACGGGUGCGUAACGCGUAUGCAAUCUACCUUCAACUGGGGGAUAGCCCGAAGAAAUUCGGAUUAAUACCCCAUAGAAUAAAGAAUUCGCAUGUUUUCUUUAUUAAAACUCCGGUGGUUGAAGAUGAGCAUGCGUCCUAUUAGUUAGUUGGUGAGGUAACGGCUCACCAAGACUCCGAUAGGUAGGGGGUCUGAGAGGAUGAUCCCCCACACUGGUACUGAGACACGGACCAGACUCCUACGGGAGGCAGCAGUGAGGAAUAUUGGACAAUGGACGAAAGUCUGAUCCAGCCAUGCCGCGUGCAGGAAGACUGCCCUCUGGGUUGUAAACUGCUUUUAUAAGGGAAUAAACCCCCCGAUUCUUCGGGGGCUGAAUGUACCUUACGAAUAAGGACCGGCUAACUCCGUGCCAGCAGCCGCGGUAAUACGGAGGGUCCAAGCGUUAUCCGGAUUUAUUGGGUUUAAAGGGUCCGUAGGUGGGAUUAUAAGUCAGCGGUGAAAUCUUUCGGCUUAACCGGAAAAUUGCCGUUGAUACUGUAGUUCUUGAGUAUGCUCGAUGUAGGCGGAAUAUGUCAUGUA
rnacentral:rRNA from 1 species